AUUGAACGCUGGCGGCAUGCCUUACACAUGCAAGUCGAGCGCGAAAGGGGGCAACCCCGAGUAGAGCGGCGGACGGGUGAGUAACGCAUCGGAACGUGCCCAGUAGUGGGGGACAACCUCGAGAAAUCGAGGCUAAUACCGCAUACGACCCACGGGUGAAAGCGGGGGACCGCAAGGCCUCGCGCUAUUGGAGCGGCCGAUGUCCGAUUAGCUAGUUGGCGGGGUAAGAGCCCACCAAGGCGACGAUCGGUAGCUGGUCUGAGAGGACGACCAGCCACACUGGGACUGAGACACGGCCCAGACUCCUACGGGAGGCAGCAGUGGGGAAUUUUGGACAAUGGGGGCAACCCUGAUCCAGCCAUGCCGCGUGCGGGAAGAAGGCC
rnacentral:rRNA from 1 species